AUAUUAAUAAUAAAAUUGUUUAUAUGUAUAUAUAUAUAUAUUAUGAGUACGCCUCGCAUGCUUUCGAAAGCAUGAAGGUUUCUAUGCUUUUAAGUUAUUUUUGAUGAUGAGACAUCCGAUUUGAUGCUCGGUUUUGUUAGACAUGAUUUAUGCUAUUAGAAAUAUCUAGAUAUCACAUUUUAUAAUUUUUCGAUAUUAUUUACCAAAUUAUUAAAGAGUCUUAAAAAGACCAUUUUAAUGGUUGAUGUGACAUGUUUGUAAGUUCAACGGUGUAGAACAAUUCAAAUAGAUAAAAUUUUAAUAAAAAAUGUAGUCAAUAUUAAGAGUAAGAUCAGUACUUCCAACUUGAAAUUUAAAUUUUUUAUAUUAUUUUUCAGGAGAUUUUUAUUUUUAGUUGUUCAUUUUGAGACAACUCCUUCGUUAGACAAGCGAAGUUAAAAAAUUAUAAAAUUUAGUUUAUAGAUAGUUAUAAUAGUAUAGAUCGUGCCUAACAAAGCUGAUUGCCAAAUCAGAUUUCUUAUCAUUAAAAAUAACUUUGAAAAUACAAAUGUUUUAGUAUUUUCAGAAGUAUAGUAACCUAUCUCUAUAUGUUAUCAUAUUUGCUUGCAAUUUUAUAUAUAUAAUUUGAGUCUGGCUGGGAUAUCGAUAGCACUAAGAACUUGGUGUUACUGAGUUUUCCGCCGUUAGAUUUAACCCUUUGACUAUUUCCACCCGUUAGAUUAUACUAUUUAACCAACAACUCACUUAACCUUAGGAGGCCUACAUUAUUUUAACCGUACAUUUUUUCAUUCAAGGGCCGAGAACCUAAUAGCACAAACAAUGUAGUGCUAUUGAUAGUAUUCCAGCUUAACUCAUAUAACUUUUAUAACAUUGUAGUACCGUAGUCUUUCUCUUUGUCACCAAAGGCAAAGGAAAGUAUAAAUUCUUUUAGGCCCCGUUUGGUUGGGGGGUAAGCGGGGAUAACGAAAGUUAUCCCCGCUAUUCCACCAAACGGGGUGAAAUUUGGCCGGACUAUUUUAUCCCGGUCAAACUUUGCUAUUCCCGGUUAUCCCGGUAUAGCCAGGGAUUUGCUAUUCCACCAUUUUGGUGGAAUAGCACUAUUCCAAUGCUUAAUUUCAAAAUUAAUUAAAAUUAUAAAUUAAAUUAAAACUAAAUUAUAUAAAUAUAAUAUGUUAUAUAUUAUAAUACAUUAUUUUUAUUAUAAAAUUAUUAAUUGUACUAUAUUAAUACAUAUUAUUUAUAUUUAAAUAUUAUAAUAAAAUUUAUAAUAAAUUAUAUUUAAAUAUUAUAAUAAAUUCUUUUUAUUAAAUUUAAGUUUAAGUAGAAUUUUAAAAAAAUUUUAUAAAUUUAUUAUAAUAAAUAGUUUUUAUUAAUUGUUCCCACCCCUAUUCUUAUUUUAAAACUUUAAAUUUUUAAAAUUUAUAUAUUAUAAUACAUUAUUUUUAUUAUAAAAUUAUUAAUUAUACUAUAUAUUAUAAUACAUUAUUUUUAUUAUAUUAAUAAUUAUUAUUUAUAUUUAAAUAUUAUAAUAAAUUCUUUUUAUUAAAUUUAAGUUUAAGUAGAAUUUUAAAAAAAUUUAUAAAUUUAUUAUAAUAAAUUAUUUUUAUUAAUUGUUCCCAUCCCUAUUCUUAUUUUAAAAUUUUAAAAAUUAAAAAUUUAAAUUGUUAAAAUUUAUGAUUUAUAAUCUCAAAAUUAAAGUUUAUAAUUUUAAAUUUUAAAUUUUAAAAUUAAAUUUUGAUAUUUUAAUUUUGAAAUUUAAAAUUUUAUAUUUUAUAUUUUUUAAAUUUAAAUUUGAUCUUAAAUUUAAAGUUUGAAAUUUUAAAUUUUAAAUUUUAAAUUUGAGAUUUUAAAUUUCAAAUUUUGAAAUUUCAAAGUUAAAAUUUUAAAUUUAAAAAUAUAUAUUUAAAAUUUUAAAAAUUUAAAUUCAAAUACAAUAAGAGGAUAAUAUGAUUAUUUUUUAUUUAUAAAACCCACUAUCUUUCUUAUUACAUCUUACCUAACCAAACGCUAUUUUUUUUAUUCCCAGGAAUAACCCAAUUUUCAUCCAAACGCAAAAUUGAUCUAAUCCCCGCUUAUACUUCAAUUUAUACCUAUCCCUAGAAUAGCCACUUUUUCCUUAUCCUCGAACCAAACGAUACCUUAGAAGUAGACGAGACUGUUUAUUUUCAUAUCGUUUCUAAUG
rnacentral:lncRNA from 1 species